AAUGAGGUGCCUGAAUAAAGGGUUAUCUUGAUAGGAUAAAUAAAGUAACCAAUAUUACCCUCAUUA
rnacentral:tRNA from 1 species